GUGGAUGGUAGUGAAGACGACACUAAAAAAGACAAAGUGACGUCGGAGGCGUGGAAACGUCAUCAUGUCAAUAAUCCCCAACAAAAACGGCUGAAGGAAGCGUCAGCUCAUCGUAACAGAAAAGACAAGACAUUAGAGAAACUCUUUCAUGAGGAAAAACGUAACGUGCAAGGAUGGCCGGCUCGUCUUGGAAAGAAGGCGACUGAAGACAACACCGACUAUCUCGUGAGGGAUCUGCAAACCAGAACACAACGCGUCUGUCAUCAGAGAUACAACUGGUGGUCUGCACGAUGGAGAUGGGUUUGCAGUCACAGCAGCAAAUGACUUCGUUCCA